UACGUAGGGUGCAAGCGUUGUCCGGAAUUAUUGGGCGUAAAGAGCUCGUAGGCGGUCUGUCGCGUCGGCUGUGAAAACUCGGGGCUCAACUCCGAGCUUGCAGUCGAUACGGGCAGGCUAGAGUUCGGCAGGGGAGACUGGAAUUCCUGGUGUAGCGGUGAAAUGCGCAGAUAUCAGGAGGAACACCGGUGGCGAAGGCGGAUCUCUGGGCCAUAACUGACGCUGAGGAGCGAAAGCAUGGGGAGCGAACAGG
rnacentral:rRNA from 1 species